rnacentral:lncRNA from 1 species
UGUUAGCAGCAAUUACCUUUUCAGCUGCCUUAAACUUUAAGCAGAUGGAGUUGUAUCAUGCAAUACUUCUAUUUGCUGGCUUCUAUUUGCUGGCUUCCUGUCAACCUAAAGGUUCCUCACUUCCCUCCCAACUAAAGAAUUUGGUCCAGAUUGGCGCUGCCACAGUGGCGACCUUUGCAAUCAUUUGGUAUCCAUUUCUUCAAAUUCAUGAUUGGCUUUUACAGCAAGUCAUCGUCAGACUCUUUAUUCCUUUUCAGCGUGGAAUCUUUGAAGACUAUGUCGCCAAUUUUUGGUGCACGCUAAAUGUUGUGAUCAAAAUCAAACGACUAUUAAACCCAACCUCAAUCGCCUCGGGAACUAUCACCUAGGCCAUGCCCGUGCCUGAAAGAAAAAGUCAGGACGUUGAUUCGAACGGAUUCGAAUGCAACGAGCACUAAGUACGGUCACAUUAUUGGAGGAAUGACCGUGUGCUUGGUUCGUGAUUUGGAGUCACAAGUGAUAGCUGCAAGCUGAUAUCACUCGAACCACUGCACCAACCCGACUAAGCAUGAUCGAAAAAAGCUACAGCUCAUUAUGGCGUCAGUUUAGCUUUAAUGCUAAAUUUCGCAAACACGGUGAACUAGAUUGACAAUAAUAAAAAAUGAACUUUAUUCGUCACUUGCUGUGUUACUUAUUAUUAAGAAUCUCAAUUAUGCUAAACAAAUUUUGACACGCAAAAAAUGCUACAAUAGAAACGGAAACGGUUGCACUCACGGAUCGUGACUGGAACAUGUAUACCAAUCCCGCCAUAAGACCUAGAAGUUACUCUUCGGUUGCCACCAGGUGGCAUAUGAGUAGCAUAUUUCUAUGAAAUCUUUUGAUGGCUGUCUGCUGUCUGCUUAACUGGGCAUUGAUGGCAGGUUAAUUUUUAAAAAGUUUGUACUUCAAAUAUAGGAACUAUCUUGCUUUCGGCGGAUUAUUCUCAGUUGGAACUUCGAAUAUUGGCGCAUUUGAGUGAAGACGCAGGUCUUUGUUCUGUUCUUAGCCAACCCGAUGGCGAUGUUUUCCGCGGCAUUGUAUCAGUUUGGAAAAAGAAAAAGCAAGAAGAAGUCAGAGACGAUGAAAGGCAAAAAGCGAAACAAAUCUGCUACGGGAUUGUUUACGGCAUGGGAUGUAAAAGUUUAGCCGAACAGUUGGAAGUCGGGGAAGAAGAGGCUCAACUCUUUGUUAACACUUUCCACGCAACGUAUCCUAGUAUACAAAGCUUUAUAACAAACACAGUUAACCAGUGCCGCACGAAUGGAUUUGAUGAUGUUGAUGCCUAAUUUUCUUGACAGGUCAACCGAUGUGGAAAAAAAUUCAGGAGGAAAAUGAAUUGAGCUGCUGACAUUGGCCUAUUCUGGAAUACAUUAGUUUGCAUCAUAAUCAGAAAGGUAAUAUUGCCUCUUUUAAUUCCUUAUCCAGUUGUAGCUAUGACUUGAGUCUGCGUAGAUAAAUUUCUUAGCUUUAUUUGAAAUUUGAGGCUGUGAUAACUUUUUGAAAACGACAAGAUAUUUUCUAAAAUAAAGCUUCACUAGAUCUACCCAAAAGCAAGCAAUCUUUAUUUCAACAUAUAGAUAGCAAUUACUUGUUACACCAAAAGUACCCCGCCAGGGUGUGUUCUGUUAUUUCCCGCCCGAAUUAUUUUGGGUAGCUUUUUUUCUCAGAAUUUAUUAAUCACAUCGUCAUGGUUUCAACUGCGCUAGGUUGGUUUACGUUAACGAUCACAUCAUCGCCGUGUCUGAUCCUUUUCGAUUGCACUAUAUGAUGCAGCGAGUGUGGGUGUAUGUCGAAAAUAUAAAUUACGCAGAAA